AUUGAACGCUGGCGGCAGGCCUAACACAUGCAAGUCGAGCGGAUGAAGGGAGCUUGCUCCUGGAUUCAGCGGCGGACGGGUGAGUAAUGCCUAGGAAUCUGCCUGGUAGUGGGGGAUAACGUCCGGAAACGGGCGCUAAUACCGCAUAUGUCCUGAGGGAGAAAGUGGGGGAGCUUCGGACCUCACGCUAUCAGAUGAGCCUAGGUCGGAUUAGCUAGUUGGUGGGGUAAAGGCCUACCAAGGCGACGAUCCGUAACUGGUCUGAGUGGCUGAUCAGUCACCCUGGAACUGAGACACGGUCCAGACUACUACGGGAGGCAGCAGUGGGGAAUAUUGGACAAUAGGCGAAAGCCUGAUCCAGCCAGGCCGCGUGUGUGAAGAAGGUCUUCGGAUUGUAAAGCACUUUAAGUUGGGGGGAAGGGCAGUAAGUUAAUACCUUGCUGUUUUGACGUUACCAACAGAAUAAGCACCGGCUAACUUCGUG
rnacentral:rRNA from 1 species